UUUAUUGAGGGGUUACAAUGAGGUUGAAUCCAACAAUUCAAUAAUAAAUCUGCACUGAAUCGGACGACUAUUAAGCACCAGUGCAGACUCCACUGUAGAGGACAGAAAAGAGAAGGCUGUGGUCUGGCCCGAUACAUAACAAUACGCAAUGAAUGGGCUUAAUCCACAAGAAGACCGAUGAGACCCGAUCCGAAUAAAUCACAACAUAGCCAGUGCCUUAUAAUUUGAUCAUUCGUUCGAUUUGUGCAUCAUCUUAAGAUCUCUUCUGAUAUUUUGAUCUGAGACUCUGCCGAACUAUCUCGAUCUAGAGACGUCGGCUCAUUUCCCUAGGAGAUUCUGAGAUUUCGCUGCAAAAUGGAGGACACGGGAGGCCGAGAUGGACUAAGGAUUCGAAGAUGGAGGUUUCUGGGGAGGCCAGCAUAUGAACCGUCGUCGUCGUCGCCCUUGGUGUUCGCAUCACGACGGAUCUGCGAGAAAUUUGCAUGAAAUCUUCGAAAGCAUAGCAUCGAAGAAAUUUAUGCGUACGAACCGUCGUCGUCGGCCUUGGUGCUCUCGAUCUGCUAGAAAUUUGCAUGAAUAUCCCAGAAGACCUGGGCUGGGUUGCGUAAAGAGAAGCAUCUUCAGACCCAUUCAUUGCAUAGCUUCCACUUCCAGCGAAGAUCCUCAGGUGAAUGUUUGAAUUUGUGGUUCUUUAAUUGAUUGGUUUCUUGUUCGGAAUUGAAAGUUUUAGUUUGGACUGUGCUGAAUUUCUCAAUUAGAACGCUUAAGUGUUGGGGGAACAUGACAAUUCAUAAGCGAAUGCGAAUGGCUUUUAUCGUUCGCGGAUAAAUUAUGUGUGGCAAAAGCGAAUGGCCAAAGUUGGCAUGGUCCUUCGAAUCCUUUUAGAAAAAGGUCUCUUUCAUGCAUUAUUACUAGUGUGGUUUCUCACUGCGAAGCAAAACACACAUGGAAUCGUAUUUGUACUUUGUUAGAGUAAGCGAGAGAGCUUUAGAAUAUUAGGAAGUAAAGUUUUGAAGUUACGAUGAAUGCAGUACAGUGUAGGCUAUAGCAGCGUGAAUA